CCGGUUUACUUCGCCUCUGCGCUGGGCGCAUAAAAAACAACGGGGCUUAACAAUCCGGCUGGUCAGCGAACGUUUCUCAGUGGGUGGUGGGUGGUUAGCAGUGAUUUAAGUUCGGGGGUGGCUUAACCUCCCUGAAGACCAUCGCCUCGAACCACUGCCCCCGCCCACAUCACCGCCCACUUCAUGCAAAUGGCCAAACAUUAAGGCGACACUUGAGUUGUGUCUACAAACAGCUAAGUUCAAUAUGCUGCAUGUCAAAAACAGGCCACCCCGUUCCUGGCCAAUGCAAAGGCAAAUGCAAAUGCAAACAAUGGCCAAGGCUGCGACGGAAGAACAAGUCACGUGCUGCCCGCUCCGAAGUCCAUGUGUCCGUAUUCCUGGGCCCUUGUUCCGUACUCCUAAUAAGCGGCAAAUAAUUGGCAGACGAACUUGAGACUGCGACUACCCCAAUGGCAGGAGGCACGGCGAUUGCCAGUGGCAACUGCAAUGCCACUAAAAAUCGAUACCAACCACCACACAGCCACCCUGCAGGUUGUCGAUCCUUGCUGGAAUGCUUAUUUGCUUGUUUGUUUGCCUGUCUCCUUUUUGUGGCCAGCCGGUUUCCAGUCGCAAUGCGAGUGCCAGAGAGAAAUCCGCUCUCAAUUGCAGUUGCAUUGGCCUAAAGUACAGGUGAGCAGACUAGAUAUGGGGACAUUUUUUUACCUCAAACGAACAGCAAUUAGAAUUUCCGGCCAUAAACCCUGUCAAGAACUGAAAAGCGUUAGCCCAGAACCACGUCAACUGACCAAAUUUGAGUGUCAAGCCCAGGCAACAGUAACUUGAACAGGGAGGGAUUUAAAAAGCAACAUUUUUAAAUCUAUUAUUUUAUUUGUUUAACUCAAACUGCGCGACUAAAGGUGCCACAUUGAAUAAUGUUUUUGGACAUACUAUAUUGUAAUUCAGUCACAGCUAAUAAUUUUUAAAUUUUCUCAAAACCAUUAUUGUUUCACCUGCAAUACAUAAGCUUAAAAUCAAUUCUGUAAAUAUAAAAUAUCAUGUUUAAUUCUA